rnacentral:rRNA from 1 species
AUGUCGUCAACUGGGUCUGCCGAAUGGACCGAUGAGAAUACUCGGAUUAUCGUGGAGUUGUUUGUGAAACAAGUGAAGGCUGGAAACAUGCCAAACACUCAUUUGACACCCAGUGCAUAUGAUGAGGUGGGAAAGGAGUUCUUGAUGAGAACUGGGCUUGAGUACACACCAAAGCAAGUGAGGAACAAAUGGACCAAGUUAAAACGUGAGUACAACACAUUCAAGAAGCUCAAGUUGCGCGAGACUGGAGGGGGUUGGGACUUUGAGAAAAACACUGUUAAACAAGAUAAUGAGUGGUGGAAAAAGGCGAAAGUUGACCUUCCAGGUUGUGGCAAGUUCAAGAAGCAUGGACUCCGUAACGAAGAAGGCUUGCGCGUCUUGUUUGAGGAUAUCAGUGUUGAUGGCACUGACCAUUGGAACCCCGCAUCUGGUCUGCCUCCCCCCUCUAGUUCGGCAUUGAAAACAGCCUUGAAUGUUGACGAAAUCACCGAUCUUGAUUUGGAGGAUGAUAGUGAAGAGCAACCUUCUCCGACAAAAGAUGAGACCAUUUCUGUUGCCUCUACCAUGGAUUUAGUUCGUGCUUGUGGUGCAACAGACGACACUGAUGAGCAUUUCAUUGCUACUGAGCUCUUUCUGAAGAGAGAGCAAAGAGAGAUGUUCUUGCACAUGACAUCCGACUCUCGAAAGGGUUGGUUGCAUAGGAGGUUUGACCUCAAGUAUGGGAACUAG